CGAUUUUGACUUUUACCGUUCAGGAGUUAUGGUUCUUGAAAGAUUGAAAAAUGGUGUUUCCAGUCGUGUCCGUGCAUUUUCUCAUGAACCAUUCAACCAAAGCUUUUGAAAUUUUUAUAUGUUGUUACUGAUGGCAAAUUAAAAGUCAAGUUCAAUUAUGACGAUUUUGACUUUUACUGUUCAGGAGUUAUGGUUCUUGAAAGAUUGUGAAAUGGCGUUUCCAUUCACGUUGUUGCAUUUACUCAUGAACCAUUCAAUCUAAGCUUUUCAAAUUUUAAGAUGUUGAUACUGAUGACAAAAUGGAGGUCAAAUUUGAUAUUGACGAUUUUCACUUUCACCAUUCAUCAGUAAUGGUUCUUGUGAUAUUGCCAGGACACAAAUAAAUAUUAACAAAUCCGGUUUGCUGUCGUUGUGACAGCCUCUUGUUAUAAUUCGUUCAAGGGGAGAUAAUUAUGGGACUGUAAUAAAGUAUCAUUCAUCCAAGGGGAGAUAAUUAUGUGAUCAUACUAUAAAGUAAGAGCCAUAUCAAUGAAACUAUUUUCCUUAAUUUCUAAACUGUUUCGUUGACAUGUAAAACAAUUUCAAACUUCAUAACAUGUUGAAAUUGGUUGGUUAAGGAAAUAGUUGAGAUGUACAAAUCAUGGCUUUAUUUAACAUUAUUCAUUCAAGGGUAGAUAAUUAUGUGAUCAUAAUAUAAAGAUUUAAAUCAAUGAAACUGUUUUCUUAAAUUUCUAAACUUUUUUGUUGGACAGGUAAAGUAAUUUCAAACUUUGUAACAUGUUGAAAUUGGCUGGUCAAGAAAGUGGUUGAGCUGUACAAAUGAUGGCUUUAUUCAACAUCAAUCAUGUGAUAAUUUAUGAAAAUAAAUAAGCGUGGAAUUUAGAAUUAAAAAAAUAAUCAUAAGCAACAAAACAAGAUAUUUAUUCCUGAAUCAGUGUUGUUUGUUCAUGAGUUUAAUUUUCUUUUAAAUUUGAAUUUGACCAUGGACUUUUUAAUAGAAAUGAAACAGAAAAUGCAAAGAACUUUGUCUUUUUCUAUGAAUUCUCAAUUUGUUUUGGUGCAAUGUUACUCAGAAUGUCUUGAC
rnacentral:lncRNA from 1 species